CGGCUCUCUCCCUCGGUCCUGGUCUUCCUUGCGACGGCGAUGAAUGGCGCGGUGGCAGCGGCGGUCCGCGAUGGUGGCAACGAGCUGGAGUACAACGGCGGCGGCUAUGGACGACAGCAAGCUCGAUGACAACAGCGGCCUCUUCUCCUUCUUAGCUCGGUCCGGCAGCUCGGUGGCGGUGGCUAUGGCAAGACGCGUCGGCGGCGGUCGUCCCCCUCCCUUCCUUCUUCUCCGUUCAGCCCUCUUUUCUCUCUUUCCUUUCUUUUCUCUCUGUCUCAGUAUGUGUGGGUUUGUGUGUGUUACCGAUGUGAAGGAGUUAGGAGGGUAAGGGGGUAAUGGCGGCUACUGAAGGAAACAUGGGAGGUAUGGGUGUCUGUAUGUGUGUGGCUGAAUGGAG
rnacentral:lncRNA from 1 species